GUUUUCUGAAAGCAAGAUCUAAUGGAGACAUUUACCUGGCAACCAAACUGUUGUGUCUUCUUUUAUAAUGUUACAGUUGGGAAUAGGUUGCUCAGUUAAGAACUACAAGUGUAUCAUGCUGGAUCCAUAUGAAUAAGCUUUGCCCAUUGGAUGUGAUUGGAGUUGCUGACAUAACAUUUUGCUCUUUGCUUUCAGAUCUCCCAGUGGAAUGUGAACUAUAAGACAACCUAGAGGAGGGUUGUGCUGCUACACGGAAGAAACCUGGCACCCUGAGUCACUCUGUGAAAUGCUGCUUACUGAUCAGCAACACACGUGGAUAUCUUAUACAAAUCUGGAAAUGAGCACUGCGUACCCGAAUUGCCAGAAACAGUGUGUGUUGCAAGGAAACCACAGAUUAUUUUCACCAAGAGAACAUGUUCACUAGAUUUCUCUCAGGUGUUCAUUCAUACUGAUUAGAAAUAAUGCUGUUUCUCUGAAGUGGAUUAACAAACAUAAAUAGCUAAAACAUUCAUUAUCUAUUAUAACCAAUUUACACUGUAAAUUGAGUAAUGUAGGUUAAGGAUGAGUCAUUUACACUAUUCUAUAUAACUUCCUAGAGGUAAUGAUCAGAAAAUACCAUGGCUAAUUGCCCGGGGUUCUUGGUUUUAGGCACGAAUUAAAAAAAGAAGAGAAAUAAUUUUAGUUGGUGCAUCUAAGCAUAAUUUCUCAAUGAUACAAGGAUGUAAGAGGUAAAGCCCAGAGUGACAAUAAAAAUGAAAUUUAGUGUCAAAAUAAUGUGUAAUAUUAUCACUUGAUCUGUAGUUGCCUCCCUCAUGAUUUUCCAGUAGAUAUCAAGCCUGCCAUAUGUUACAGAUGAUACAAUUUGGCUGUUUCUUUACCGGAAUCUCAUCUUGAAUUGUAAUCCUCAUAAUCCUUAUAAUCCCCAUGUGUCAAGUGAGAGACCAGGUAAAGACAAUUGAAACAUGGGGGUGGUUUCCUUCAUGCUGUUCUUGUGAUAGUGGGUUAUCAUGAGAUCUUACGGUUUUACAGGGUUUGGUAACUUCUCCUGCAUUCAUUUUCCCUCCUACCACCUUGUGAAGAAGGUGCCUUGUUUCCCUUCACCUCUGCCAUGAUUGCAAGUAUCCUGAGGCCUACCCAGCCAUGCUGAAUUGUGAAUUAAUUUAACCUCUUUCCUUUAUGAAUUACCCAGUCUUGGGCAGUUCUUGAUAGCAGAGUAAGAACGAACUAAUACAGUAUACUAGCCAGAGUUAGUGUUAGAAACCUGGAUAUUUUUCUUCUUAAACAAUUUUAAGUUGCUUGAGGUGGAAGGAUAGAAUAUAAUAGACCAGAGUGUGAUGAGAAUUACAUAGGAGGAUGAUAUGGGUGAUUUCAGAGACAGGAGAAAGCUAUGCUUUUGUUACGCUUCCUAUCCCCAUAAUUCAUAGUGGUCAAUAAGUGACUCAAAAGAGUGACAAAAGAGUGAUGAAGCUUCAGAGAACUUAGGAGUGUAGUUCUGCACUGAGAAUCUUGAAAGACAUUUUGAGACUUAGAGAAAAUAGGUUAUAUUCUUAAGGCCUUUGCAGAUACAUUGGAAACAACUUGGCACAAACUCCAUCCACUAGGAAAUCUGGACCACAUUCAGUGAUUUUCGAGAGGCUGGAGCAAUCUAGAAGACACUAAACUAAGCAAGUCAAAGAAAAAAGGACACAAUCACUACGAAUUCAUUCCAUUUCAUUCUC
ensembl:lncRNA